AUACGUAGGGAGCGAGCGUUGUCCGGAAUUACUGGGUGUAAAGGGAGCGUAGGCGGGAGUGCAAGUCAGAUGUGAAAUACAUGGGCUCAACCCGUGGGCUGCAUUUGAAAUUGCAUUUCUUGAGUGAAGUAGAGGUAAGCGGAAUUCCUGGUGUAGCGGUGAAAUGCGUAGAUAUCAGGAGGAACACCGGUGGCGAAGGCGGCUUACUGGGCUUUUACUGACGCUGAGGCUCGAAAGCGUGGGGAGCAAACAGGAUUAGAUACCCUGGUAGUCCACGCUGUAAACGAUGAUUACUAGGUGUGGGGGGACUGACCCCUUCCGUGCCGCAGUUAACACAAUAAGUAAUCCACCUGGGGAGUACGGCCGCAAGGUUGAAACUCAAAUGAAUUGACGGGG
rnacentral:rRNA from 1 species